GAAUGCAGCUCACUGGUAGAGCACAUGCCUAGCAAGUGUGGGGCCCUGGGUUCCAUCCCCAGUGCACGUG
rnacentral:tRNA from 1 species